rnacentral:rRNA from 1 species
UAGGGAAUCUUCGGCAAUGGACGAAAGUCUGACCGAGCAACGCCGCGUGAGUGAAGAAGGUUUUCGGAUCGUAAAACUCUGUGGUUAGAGAAGAACAAGGACGUUAGUAACUGAACGUCCCCUGACGGUAUCUAACCAGAAAGCCACGGCUAACUACGUGCCAGCAGCCGCGGUAAUACGUAGGUGGCAAGCGUUGUCCGGAUUUAUUGGGCGUAAAGCGAGCGCAGGCGGUUUCUUAAGUCUGAUGUGAAAGCCCCCGGCUCAACCGGGGAGGGUCAUUGGAAACUGGGAGACUUGAGUGCAGAAGAGGAGAGUGGAAUUCCAUGUGUAGCGGUGAAAUGCGUAGAUAUAUGGAGGAACACCAGUGGCGAAGGCGGCUCUCUGGUCUGUAACUGACGCUGAGGCUCGAAAGCGUGGGGAGCAAACAGG